UACGUAGGGGGCAAGCGUUGUCCGGAUUCACUGGGUGUAAAGGGUGCGCAGGCGGGCCCUUAAGUCAAAGGUGAAAUCUCUCGGCUUAACCGAGAAAUUGCCUUUGAUACUGAGAGCCUUGAGGACGGGAGAGGGAGAUGGAAGUCCAGGUGUAGCGGUGAAAUGCGUAGAUAUCUGGAGGAACACCGGAGGCGAAGGCGGUCUCCUGGCCCGUUACUGACGCUCAGGCACGAAAGCGUGGGGAGCAAACAGG
rnacentral:rRNA from 1 species